GAUGAACGCUGGCAGCGUGCCUAAUACAUGCAAGUCGAGCGAAUGGAUUAAGAGCUUGCUCUUAUGAAGUUAGCGGCGGACGGGUGAGUAACACGUGGGUAACCUGCCCAUAAGACUGGGAUAACUCCGGGAAACCGGGGCUAAUACCGGAUAACAUUUUGAACCGCAUGGUUCGAAAUUGAAAGGCGGCUUCGGCUGUCACUUAUGGAUGGACCCGCGUCGCAUUAGCUAGUUGGUGAGGUAACGGCUCACCAAGACAACGAUGCGUAGCCGACCCGGGAGGGCGAUCGGCCACACUGGGGAUGGGCCACAGCCCAGACUCCUACGGGAGGGAGCAGUAGGGAAUUAUCCGCAAUGGACGAAAGUCUGACGGAGCAACGCCGCGUGGGUGAUGGAGGCUUUCGGGUCGUAAAACUCUGUUGUUAGGGAAGAACAAGUGCUAGUUGAAUAAGCUGGCACCUUGACGGUACCUAACCAGAAAGCCACGGCUAACUACGUGCCAGCCGCCGCCGUAA
rnacentral:rRNA from 1 species